CUUGGCCCCUGGUGCUCAGGAAUGCGCUUGUGCCCAGGGAAGUUUGAAGCAGGGGGGCGGCCCCAAAGCCAGGGGUUGGUUCCAGAGAGAGAAUAGAAACCUCGUGCUCGAAUAUGAUGUCAGACGAGAUUCUGAAAUUUUCCAUUUUAUUGUGGCCCGGGUCACGAUCUCACAGUUGGACUUACCACGAGCUAUGCUGGUCUGGUCCAGUUCAUUUCCUUCUGGAAUUAUCUGCGGUCUGACUUCCUGCGUCCCGGCUUCCUCUCUACUCAGGACCACACCAGCACCUGCCGGGCUAACCACCGCGUCUGCCGGGCUAGAACAACACCCGGCACAUCGCAGACACUUAAGCAAUACUGCCCGGAAACCAACUAUUGUCCCUCCCAAUCGGUCUUGGCUGUGGCCCAGGGGUGGAUGACCCCUGACCCCUACCACCCCUCACCCAGCGGCCCCGUGACCAGACCUGCCCCAAUACAGCAGAGAAGCCACAACAUCACUUUUUAAUAUCGUUUAAUGUUUCUCUUGGAGUUGCGGGGGGGGGGGGGGGGACCCCUGAAGCUUGGGACUGCUGAGCUCCCCAGGGGAUCUUAUUUUAAGCUUGUCAUUGGCCAAGUACAGUGGAAGCCUUUGGAACAGCAAGAUUGGCUAAUUGUAGCUUGGGGCGUCCAAAUUCGUUCCGUUCCCUGCCGCCCUUGGUUUUGUCCCCGAGAGCAAAGGUGACUUAUCAAAGUCUCGCCACAUUUUUCACGCGUUGUUUGGUGCAGGCCACCGCCAAGGCAGAGCUGGGCUGAGUGCAGUCUCAGGCGGGGCCCCUCGGAUGACCAGGGAGCCACAGGGCUCUGGGGGACAGCCCUUUGUUUCUUUUUGGGCUGACAUCACGUUCCUGGAGGGGCCCCUUGGUUAGAGGUCAAAUGCCGGGUCGGGCAGGUGCUGGCCGAGGGUCGUGAGGCACAGAGCUGAGGUCAUCCCAGCUCUUUCAGCUCAGGUUGUGUGAAUUGCCACAUUACAUCCCCUUCCCGAGGCUUCUCGUCCACACGCAUAAAACGGGCAGGUUCUGAGAAUCCGUGCGGCACGCUGCUCCCAGCUGGCAGGGACGGGGAAGGAGGGAAGGGACCAGAGGCGAAGAGAAAAGUCCAGCUCCAAGCCUCAGGGACUAGUUCAUCUGCAGGGGGGACACACUGUCCUCGCACAGGUGGCCCAGGGUGGCCUGUGCAGGCCUGGCCUUCUGGCAUGUUCUAUCUGGCCUGCAUGAUCAGGGUUCCUUUUGGUUUCCUCUGAAUGUCUUUGGGCCCAGCCAGUGCUCCCGGGCUCUCCUUCCCUCUCUCCCUCUCCACUCGCAUGCCAGCAUCUCGCAGUCUGUGAGUUCGAGCCCCGCAUCAGGCUCUGUACUGACAGCUCAGAGCCCGGAGCUGCUUCAGAUUCUCUGUCUCCUCUCUCUGCCCCUCCCCCGCUCGCACCUGUCUCUGUCUCUCAAAAGUAAAUAAACGUUAAACAAAAAAAAGUUUUUUAAAAAGGGAGGGCUACAUUCAUCCAAAAUUUUGGUGUCAGAAAUCCCACAGAAGGCUGUGGAAACAGUCCAGAUUAUGGGAGGCUAAAGAGAUAGGCCGCAUAAACGCCUCAUCCAGCCGAUGCCGGACCCAUCCUGGUCAGGGGAGAAGCUAUAAAGGAUAUUAUUAGGUCAACUGACAAAAUUGGAACAGACAGUAGAUUAGAUUAAACCAUUGCAUUGAAGGUAAACGUGCUCAUGUUGAUAACCGUACUGUGGUUUUGUAAAAAAAAAUAUUCUUACUCUUAGAACAGCUAUCGCCCCCUUCUCCCGCAAAGUAUUCCGGGUCUCCCUGGCUCUCCAGCUUAAAACGAAGGCAGUGGUUUACCUUAGAGCUCCCUCUCCUAUUUUCGGGGGGGGGGAAUCAUGGAUUCCUUUGAGAACCCGAAGAAAUCACGGACACUUGGCAUUGUGAAAUGCACAUACAUACACACGCUUUGUUGGUUGUCUCCUCCAGAGACUCCCAGUCCCCUCUUGGACGGAUGGCUUCCCGACAGGCUUUCCAGGGACUAUAUUCUAAAGUUCUAGAAGCAAAGGGCCAUGCUGUAGCCAACUUACUGUCAAAUGGUCCAGAAAAACCUACUAUUUGUAUAUAAUAAAAAAAUUCCAAAUAAUAAAGCAA